GUGGUAUUAGCUCAAUUGGUUAGAGCAUUCGCCUGUGAAGCGAAAGGUUGCCAGUUCGAAUCUGGUAUACCACCCA
rnacentral:tRNA from 1 species